AGAAAAGAAGCUAUACCUUUAAGCAAUUAGCUGUUACCUAAUAAAUAGUGGUCACCCACCUUUUCUA
rnacentral:tRNA from 1 species